UUUGUUAAACGAAGCACAUGUACCAUUUCCAUUUAACACUUUGGUGUAAAAACUUAUUCAUUCAUUCAUCAAUGGCAGACUGGUCUGAACUCCCAAAGGACCUCCUACACAAAAUAUCACAACUCCUCCUCGAAAGCCCUCUCUACCUCCUCCGCUUCCGAUCCGUCUGCUCCUCAUGGCGUUCUUCCACUCCCCCCUCUCCCUUCAACCCCUCAAUCUCCCUCACCAACACCUUCUCCCUCUCCCACCGCACCCUCCUCCUCCUCAACCCUAACCCUAACCCUAACCCUAACCCCCGCCCCUGGCUCGUCAAGCUCUCCCUCGACCCACACGCCAGCACCGCGCGUCUCUUCCACCCUCUCUCCCGCUUCCCCAUGAAACUGCCCCGUUUCGCCCUCGACCUCUUCACCCUCCCCGCCCUCGACCUCGGCCGCGAGUUCCUCCUCACCAACACGCGCCACACCCGCGACUCCCUCUACAUUGAAAAGCUCGUCUUCCUCCCUCUCACCCAUCGAAAAGACCGUUUUGCCCUCCUCACGAUCCACGUCUCCGGGAAACUCGCCCUCUUCCGCUCCGGCGACGACGGCUGGACCGUGAUCCCCGACAUGCCGACCCCCUACGACGACGUCUGCGUCUUUAAGGGCAACCUCUACGGCGCCGACAGUAACGGCCGCACCGUCAGGGUGCGGCCGGAUGACGGUGGCCUCACCCUCGCCGCCGAGCCUGUCUUUGGUGGCGACAAGAAGUUCCUCGUGGAGUCCGAGGGCGCGCUGCUGCUCGUCGACAUGUACCUCUCCUACUACUCCUGCACGCAGGGUUUGUUCCACGAGGAUUUCGACGAGGAAGAUGUGGCCGGGAUGGGGUGGGAGAGGACGGUGAAGUUUGACGUGUUCAGGCUCGACGAGGAGGGGAAGAAGUGGGUGGAAUUGACCGAUUUGGGGGAGAGGGUGUUGUUCUUGGGGGAUGAUUGUGCUUUCUCGGCUUCUGCCAAGGAUUUGAACCUUGGGAGAGGGAAUUGCGUGGUUUUUAGAGAUGAUGGGUUGGGUUUUAAUAGGGUUUUAAAUGGAAUGGGGGUUUUUUGUUUGGAUGAUGGUAAGAUCUCGCCCUUGUCGGAGUGUGCCGGGUUUUCGGAGUUGUUCUGCCCGCCGCCGGAUUGGGUCGGGUUGCAGUGACACAUCACACAUGGAAAAACAUCUAAAACUAUUGCAAUGUUGCAACUGGGAAAAAGUCUAAAAAUCGAAGAUUUUCUCUUGUCGGAGUGCCCCGGGUUUUUCGAGUUGUUCUGCCCGCUUCUGGAUUGGAUCAGUUUGCAUGGACACUUUACGCAUGGGAACCGUUUAUUACUAGUUCUGUCAUGGUUCUACAAAGCCAUCUGCUGUCUUUUUCUUUCAAACUAUGGUAAAUGAGGAUCCAUAAUAAAACCCGACUUUUAUGAAGACUAUGUCUCCAGUAACCUAACCUGGGUAAAGCAACAUGCAUGCAUGAGUACUCCUCCAGUGUAAAUUGAAUAAAGGCUAAGAUGCUUGGAAGUGGUCGACUUACAUUUUGUUGAGGUUAAUAAGUGGCUUCUAUUGCAUAUUCAUUGAUUGCAAAGAUCGUAAAUUCAUUAUCUCAUGUACAUAGAAGGUUCAACUGGUUAAAAUUGCACAUUGUCUUCAGCUGUUGAGACUCGUCAAUUUCAUCCUAACAUUUGUUGUAUAGUUUACUUAUAUUUUUUUUCUUUCUUUUCAUAUGCAAAUAGUGAAUGUUUAGUAUUAAUAAUAAAUUUGUAUACAUGUUCUUCCUAUAAAUGCCAAAUGAGCGGGAGGCCAAGAGAAAGGGGGUCCAAAUUCGGAA